UCGGCCUAGGUCCAUUGGCUAGGCCACUGUCACCUGGGCUGUGAUGUCACGGCCCCUUAGAAGAUCUUGUGGCUACACCCCCCCCCUCCUUUGGAGGCUGAAAGGAAAAGAAUAAAAAGAGAGAGAGAAGGGUGCUGUGAGAUCUUGCUUGAGACCUCAUUCUUCUGAACCUGGUUUCCUGGACUAUGUGGCCAUCUGUGGUACUCCCGCCACCAACCUCUCAUCCCCUGCCUCCCGAAGUUAGAGGAGCUAAAGAGAAAAAAAAAAAACCACCCAUGAAUAGAA
rnacentral:lncRNA from 1 species